CACAAAUAUAAAAUAAAUAAUAAUAUUUAUAAAAUAAGAUUUGUUUUCAUACGUUCAAAUAAAAAUAUUGAAUGCAAUAAUUAUUUUUAUAGGUAGCUAGUAACAUAUGCAUUAAGGAGAGAGGGGUCAGGAUAAAUCUCACGGAAAAAAAUAGGCUUAAUAAAAUAUAAACACGUCACUGAGUGAUUAACCAUUUAAAUAUAUUUACCAAUAAUAUAUAUUUUCAUUUAAUAUGACUCAUUGUUUUUGUUAAUUUUUCCCAUUACUAAAAGAUAUUCACAUUUAAAAAAAAAAAGUCUUAGGAUAAUGGGGACGGGUGCAGUCACUUUUAUAGGUAAUUUAAUAUAUACCUGUAAGCAACGAUAAACCAUUGCUAACGAAAAACGAUUAUGAGCGGAG